rnacentral:rRNA from 5 species
GUUAUAUGGUCAAGCGAAUAAGCGCACACGGUGGAUGCCUUGGCGGUCAGAGGCGAUGAAGGACGUGGCAGCCUGCGAAAAGUAUCGGGGAGCUGGCAACAAGCUUUGAUCCGGUAAUGUCCGAAUGGGGAAACCCACCCGCUUGCGGGUAUCCUGCAGUGAAUACAUAGCUGCUGGAAGCGAACCUGGUGAACUGAAAUAUCUAAGUAACCAGAGGAAAAGAAAUCAACCGAGAUUCCGUAAGUAGCGACGAGCGAACGCGGACUAGCCCUUAAGCUGAUUUGGUUCUAGGAAAACGCUCUGGAAAGAGCGGCCAUAGAAGGUGAUAGCCCUGUAUCUGAAAGGGCCAUUUCAGUGAAGACGAGUAGGGCGGGGCACGUGAAACCCUGUCUGAACAUGGGGGGACCAUCCUCCAAGGCUAAAUACUACUGACCGACCGAUAGUGAACCAGUACCGUGAGGGAAAGGCGAAAAGAACCCCGGAGAGGGGAGUGAAAUAGAACCUGAAACCGUGUGCGUACAAGCAGUAGGAGCUCCGCAAGGAGUGACUGCGUACCUUUUGUAUAAUGGGUCAGCGACUUACUGUUCGUGGCAAGCUUAACCGUAUAGGGGAGGCGAAGGGAAACCGAGUCUGAUAAGGGCGCAUAGUCGCGGGCAGUAGACCCGAAACCGGGUGAUCUAGUCAUGCCCAGGGUGAAGGUGCGGUAACACGCACUGGAGGCCCGAACCCACUCCCGUUGCAAAGGUAGGGGAUGAGGUGUGAUUAGGAGUGAAAAGCUAAUCGAACCCGGAGAUAGCUGGUUCUCCUCGAAAGCUAUUUAGGUAGCGCCUCAUAUGUAUCCUCUCGGGGGUAGAGCACUGUUAUGGCUAGGGGGUCAUCGCGACUUACCAAACCAUUGCAAACUCCGAAUACCGAGACGGACUGUAUGGGAGACACACGGCGGGUGCUAACGUCCGUCGUGAAAAGGGAAACAACCCAGACCCACAGCUAAGGUCCCAAAUUUUGUGCUAAGUGGAAAACCAUGUGGAAAGGCACAGACAGCCAGGAGGUUGGCUUAGAAGCAGCCACCCUUUAAAGAAAGCGUAAUAGCUCACUGGUCGAGUCGGUCUGCGGGGAAGAUUUAACGGGGCUAAGCACAGAACCGAAGCUUGGGGUGCAUAACUUUGUUAUGCGCGGUAGAGGAGCGUUCCGUAAGCCGUUGAAGGUGGAUUGAGAAGUCUGCUGGAGGUAUCGGAAGUGCGAAUGCUGACAUGAGUAACGAUAAUGCGGGUGAAAAACCCGCACGCCGAAAGCCCAAGGUUUCCUUGCGCAACGUUAAUCGGCGCAGGGUGAGUCGGCCCCUAAGGCGAGGACGAAAGUCGUAGUCGAUGGGAAGCAGGUUAAUAUUCCUGCACCUCGCGUAAGUGCGAUGGAGGGACGGAGAAGGUUAGGUGUACCAGGCGUUGGUUGUCCUGGGGAAAGGCGGUAGGUUUGGAUCUUUGGCAAAUCCGGGAUCCUUUAAGACCGAGCACCGAGACGAGCCUUUAUGGCGAAGUCACUGAUACCACGCUUCCAGGAAAAGCUCCUAAGCUUCAGCUUACGCAGACCGUACCGUAAACCGACACAGGUGGGUAGGAUGAGAAUUCUCAGGCGCUUGAGAGAACUCGGGUGAAGGAACUAGGCAACAUGGCACCGUAACUUCGGGAGAAGGUGCACCCUUUUUGGUGGCUCGUGCGAGCUAUAGCUGAAGAGGGUCGCAGUAACCAGGCCGCUGCGACUGUUUAUCAAAAACACAGCACUCUGCAAACACGAAAGUGGACGUAUAGGGUGUGACGCCUGCCCGGUGCUGGAAGGUUAAUUGAUGGGGUCAGCCGCAAGGCGAAGCUCUUGAUCGAAGCCCCAGUAAACGGCGGCCGUAACUAUAACGGUCCUAAGGUAGCGAAAUUCCUUGUCGGGUAAGUUCCGACCUGCACGAAUGGCGUAACGACAGCGGCGCUGUCUCCACCCGAGACUCAGUGAAAUUGAAAUCGCUGUGAAGAUGCAGCGUUCCCGUGGCAAGACGGAAAGACCCCGUGAACCUUUACUAUAGCUUUACACUGAACGUUGAGUUCGUCUGUGUAGGAUAGGUGGGAGGCUAUGAAACCAUGGCGCUAGCUGUGGUGGAGCCAUCCUUGAAAUACCACCCUGUCGUGCUUGACGUUCUAACCUGGGCCCAUUAUCUGGGUCGGGGACCGUGUAUGGUGGGUAGUUUGACUGGGGCGGUCUCCUCCUAAAGAGUAACGGAGGAGCUCGAAGGUACGCUCAGCGCGGUCGGACAUCGCGCACUGUGUGCAAAGGCAUAAGCGUGCUUGACUGCAAGAUCGACGGAUCAAGCAGGUAGGAAACUAGGACUUAGUGAUCCGGUGGUUCUGUAUGGAAGGGCCAUCGCUCAACGGAUAAAAGGUACUCCGGGGAUAACAGGCUGAUACCGCCCAAGAGUUCAUAUCGACGGCGGUGUUUGGCACCUCGAUGUCGGCUCAUCACAUCCUGGGGCUGUAGUCGGUCCCAAGGGUAUGGCUGUUCGCCAUUUAAAGUGGUACGCGAGCUGGGUUCAGAACGUCGUGAGACAGUUCGGUCCCUAUCUGCCAUGGGCGUUGGAGAUUUGAGAGGGGCUGCUCCUAGUACGAGAGGACCGGAGUGGACGAACCUCUGGUGUUCCGGUUGUCACGCCAGUGGCAUUGCCGGGUAGCUAUGUUCGGAAGCGAUAACCGCUGAAAGCAUCUAAGCGGGAAGCGCGCCUCAAGAUGAGAUCUCCCGGGGCACAAGCCCCCUGAAGGAACCAUGUAGACUACGUGGUUGAUAGGUCAGGUGUGUAAGUACAGCAAUGUAUUGAGCUAACUGAUACUAAUGAUCCGUGCGGCUUGACCAUAUAACCU